rnacentral:rRNA from 1 species
GAGUAACACGUGGGCAAUCUGCCCUAAAGACUGGGAUACCACUUGGAAACAGGUGCUAAUACCGGAUAACAACAUGAAUCGCAUGAUUCAAGUUUGAAAGGCGGCGCAAGCUGUCACUUUAGGAUGAGCCCGCGGCGCAUUAGCUAGUUGGUGGGGUAAAGGCCUACCAAGGCAAUGAUGCGUAGCCGAGUUGAGAGACUGAUCGGCCACAUUGGGACUGAGACACGGCCCAAACUCCUACGGGAGGCAGCAGUAGGGAAUCUUCCACAAUGGACGCAAGUCUGAUGGAGCAACGCCGCGUGAGUGAAGAAGGUCUUCGGAUCGUAAAGCUCUGUUGUUGGUGAAGAAGGAUAGAGGCAGUAACUGGUCUUUAUUUGACGGUAAUCAACCAGAAAGUCACGGCUAACUACGUGCCAGCAGCCGCGGUAAUACGUAGGUGGCAAGCGUUGUCCGGAUUUAUUGGGCGUAAAGCGAGCGCAGGCGGAAUGAUAAGUCUGAUGUGAAAGCCCACGGCUCAACCGUGGAACUGCAUCGGAAACUGUCAUUCUUGAGUGCAGAAGAGGAAAGUGGAACUCCAUGUGUAGCGGUGGAAUGCGUAGAUAUAUGGAAGAACACCAGUGGCGAAGGCGGCUCUCUGGUCUGCAACUGACGCUGAGGCUCGAAAGCAUGGGUAGCGAACAGGAUUAAAUACCCUGGUAGUCCAUGCCGUAAACGAUGAGCGCUAGGUGU